UCGUCUUGUCGGAUCUUGUCGGAUCUUUCCACGAAGGAGUAUGUUGUUCCUCCAUAGCGUAAAGCUGUUGGUACUCGUCAAUUUCCCUCAGGAUCUGCUUGGUAUCCAGACUGGCGCUAUACUGCAACCAGUUGUUUUACGAAAAAGAUAACAAUGAGUCUUUCCCACGACGACGACAGGUGUCUGUAGUACAGCCCGCUAGCACUCGCGAAAUCUACGCAACAACAAAAAAAAGGAACACAAACUUGCAGUCCCAGCCGUAAAGGCUAACCGCGUUGUGGAAUCCUUAGUAACAAAACUUUAGUUCAGAUUAAAAUCGACUUAAUGAAAAAGUUUUAAUGUAAACAACAAACCGAGUGUAGACAGUAGUGUCCUGUUGCGUGCUCUGAUGACGUCUCUCUCUCGUAACGUAAUGCCAAAGGAGCAAUGUCUUUACUGCGGUGUUGAUGCUGGACGAUAUUCAAGUCGGUUACUACGACGAAGUUUGUUCACAGGAUACACAAUGCCUCAGACAAAACAGAGAUGGGGACAGUUCUGGACAUUGCUUAUGUGUUUGGAAAGGGGGAUACCUAGUCAGUUGUACAACUGAAUGCCUUCAACUGAAAUGUGCCUUCCACAUUUAACCCCUCUGAAUCAGAGAGGUGUGUUCAUGGAUGUUUCUGAGAGGAGUGUUUUAUUGAUCUACGUAUUGGCAGCCCUGCCUCUCUGCCAGUUUCUGGUCCCUUUUAAUCUGGAAAUGGAAACAUAAAGGCAUUUUUUUACAUUUCCAUGUAUUCUGAAGAGUGGUUUUGUCUUGUCAAGCUUACCAGCGUGUUUACCGAGUACCUGUUUCUCCUAGUCCUCCCGGUUUUGACCUCUUGCCUGCCCUGACACUAAGCCUUACUGUCUGACCAUUCAGCCUGCCCUGACCUCGAGCCUGCC